rnacentral:rRNA from 1 species
GGGGUAACGGCCCACCAAACCUUCGAUGGAUAGGGGUUCUGAGAGGAAGGUCCCCCACAUUGGAACUGAGACACGGUCCAAACUCCUACGGGAGGCAGCAGUGAGGAAUAUUGGUCAAUGGACGGAAGUCUGAACCAGCCAAGUAGCGUGAAGGAUGACUGCCCUAUGGGUUGUAAACUUCUUUUAUACGGGAAUAAAAUGAGGUACGCGUACCUUUUUGCAUGUACCGUUAUGAAUAAGCAUCGGCUAACUCCGUGCCAGCAGCCGCGGUAAUACGGAGGAUGCGAGCGUUAUCCGGAUUUAUUGGGUUUAAAGGGAGCGUAGGUGGGAUAUUAAGUCAGCUGUGAAAGUUUGGGGCUCAACCUUAAAAUUGCAGUUGAUACUGGUUUUCUUGAGUACGGUAUAGGUGGGCGGAAUUCGUGGUGUAGCGGUGAAAUGCUUAGAUAUCACGAAGAACUCCUAUUGCGAAGGCAGCUCACUGGACCGGUACUGACACUGAUGCUCGAAAGUGCGGGUAUCAAACAGGAUUAGAUACCCUGGUAGUCCGCACAGUAAACGAUGAAUACUCGCUGUUUGCGAUAUACAGUAAGCGGCCAAGCGAAAGCGUUAAGUAUUCCACCUGGGGAGUACGCCGGCAACGGUGAAACUCAAAGGAAUUGACGGGGGCCCGCACAAGCGGAGGAACAUGUGGUUUAAUUCGAUGAUACGCGAGGAACCUUACCCGGGCUUAAAUUGCACUGGCUUUUACCGGAAACGGUAUUUUCUUCGGACCAGUGUGAAGGUGCUGCAUGGUUGUCGUCAGCUCGUGCCGUGAGGUGUCGGCUUAAGUGCCAUAACGAGCGCAACCCUUAUCUUUAGUUACUAACAGUUUUGCUGAGGACUCUAAAGAGACUGCCGUCGUAAGAUGUGAGGAAGGUGGGGAUGACGUCAAAUCAGCACGGCCCUUACGUCCGGGGCUACACACGUGUUACAAUGGGGGGUACAGAGGGUCGCUACACGGCGACGUGCUGCCAAUCCUUAAAACCUCUCUCAGUUCGGAUCGAAGUCUGCAACCCGACUUCGUGAAGCUGGAUUCGCUAGUAAUCGCGCAUCAGCCACGGCGCGGUGAAUACGUUCCCGGGCCUUGUACACACCGCCCGUCAAGCCAUGAAAGCCGGGGGUACCUGAAGUACGUAACCGCGAGGAUCGUCCUA